rnacentral:lncRNA from 1 species
UCACUUCCGGCCAAGUGGAGCCCGAGAAAAAUCUCCGGCCGAGGUUGGAAGAUGUGGUGGUCUGCAAGUUGAAGAGGAACUGCUGCACUAGCGAAGAUAAGGCUGUUGUAUACAAUCAUACUGAAAUACAGUGCUGAGCGAGGGUGCUUGUGGAGGCACAGCUUCGGCUUCUGCGUUCUGCUCUGGCUAUCUGAAGAGCGUUCAGAGAACACCAAGAUGGACCUGAAAGUUGCACUGGCCAGUCUUCUGAAUCUUCACGAAAUGCGAUUUUUUUCUGUUAAAGAAUCCCAAAGCCUGGACAGUGUGAUCCCUAUAGCAGCUCCAGACGCUGCUGCCUUUUCCUUCUUUUCUUUGCCAAAGAGCCAUCUGCUACAGAAUCAGUCUCUACUGAAAACACUUCCAAUGUUGAACUAGUACUGUGUUUUCUCAGGAAUCUCUUCUGAAAAAAGCCCGUGCUGCCUUGCCUUGUUGACCAGUUGCUGAAGAGACACACGCUAUGAAAAGCCUCCGACCUAAUGUUACAAAUGGCUGUGGAUCAUAGUUAAUACUGUAUUAGAAAUCUGUCUCCUUCGGUGGGUAAACCUGAAAAGAACCUGAAACUUUUUCCUGCUAGGUUUUUCCUACCUAUAUCUUCACCAUAACAACUUUAAUUAUGCAAUAGGAAUUUCAAAAUUAGGUUGCUUAACCUGAUCCACUGUUGGCAGAAAUGUAAAUUGGUUUGGCCAUUAUGGAAAGCAGUGUGGGAAUUCUUCAAAUCAGUAAAAAUUAGAAUCACCCUAGGAUCCAGCAGUCCCACUAUGGCUACAGAUCCAAGGAAGUAAAUCAGCCUACCAAAGAGAUGUCUGCACUCCCACAUUCACUGCAGCACAUUUAUACUGGCCAGAAAUGGGAACUUUCUGGUAACUGUCAACUAAUGAAUAAAGAGAAUGUGGUACAUGUACAUAGUCCAAUAUUAUUCCACCAUAAAAAUUAAAUUCUGUCCUUUGCAUCAAUACAGAUAUAACUGAAGAUUAUUAUGGUAGGUGAAAUGAGCCAGGUGCAGAAAGACAAGGACCAUAUGAUUUCAGCCAUAUGCAGAAUCUAAAAAAGUUGAUCUCAUAAAAGUUGAGAGUAUGGUGAGAUUACCAGAGAACAGGAAGAGGAAGUGGAGAGAGAGGUAGGGAAAAGUUACUGUUGAAAGGAGAAGGAAGUUCUGAUGUGCUGUUGUACUGUAUGAUGGCCAUCCAAAAGCUAGAAGAAAGGAUCUUGAAAGUUCUGAUGGAAAAAUGACAAAGUUUGAGGAGAUUCAUGUUCAGCCUGACCUUCUCAUCCUGUGGUGCUUACAUGCAAUGAAACAGUACAUGGUGUCCAGCCUAUAUGUACAAUUUUUAAGUUUUUCAUGUAUUUGUCAAAGAAGACAGAAAAUUCAAUUCUUGUAGGGUAAGUGGUUUGCAACUGACUGGGGUAUUCAUACCAUUUCCAUAUCCUCUUAGGAUUAGAGUCCAAUAUUCUUAAAUCCUUUUAUUUUCAUAAAAUUUUGAAUAGAAA